AGCAUUCCUGGCAUGCCCACUUCAGCUCAGUCCAGGUUUCUGAGAAGACAGAAUUUAAUCUUCAAACCUGGGAGCCAGACCUGCAAGUUGAGAGAUGACAGCCGAGAGAUGGUUUCGUUUGGCUGGCUGCAGCCGCCAGAUGGCAGAUGCUCAUUUGCAGGAAAUAAUCCGGAGAGCGCUCGUGAACGUGGCACACGGCUUCCCCCAGUGGUAAGGGUGUGCGGAGC